CCUAACACAUGCAAGUCGAACGGAAAGGCCCUGCUUUUGUGGGGUGCUCGAGUGGCGAACGGGUGAGUAACACGUGAGUAACCUGCCCUUGACUUUGGGAUAACUUCAGGAAACUGGGGCUAAUACCGGAUAGGAGCUCCUGCUGCAUGGUGGGGGUUGGAAAGUUUCGGCGGUUGGGGAUGGACUCGCGGCUUACCAGCUUGUUGGUGGGGCAGUGGCUUACCAAGGCUUUGACGGGUAGCCGGCCUGAGGGGGUGACCGGCCACAUUGGGACUGAGAUACGGCCCAGACUCCUACGGGAGGCAGCAGUGGGGAAUAUUGCACAAUGGGCGGAAGCCUGAUGCAGCAACGCCGCGUGCGGGAUGACGGCCUUCGGGUUGUAAACCGCUUUCGCCUGUGAUGAAGCGUGAGUGACGGUAAUGGGUAAAGAAGCACCGGCUAACUACGUGCCAGCAGCCGCGGUGAUACGUAGGGUGCGAGCGUUGUCCGGAUUUAUUGGGCGUAAAGGGCUCGUAGGUGGUUGAUCGCGUCGGAAGUGUAAUCUUGGGGCUUAACCCUGAGCGUGCUUUCGAUACGGGUUGACUUGAGGAAGGUAGGGGAGAAUGGAAUUCCUGGUGGAGCGGUGGAAUGCGCAGAUAUCAGGAGGAACACCAGUGGCGAAGGCGGUUCUCUGGGCCUUUCCUGACGCUGAGGAGCGAAAGCGAGGGGAGCGAACAGGCUUAGAUACCCUGGUAGUCCACGCUGUAAACGGUGGGUACUAGGUGUGGGGUCCAUUCCACGGGUUCCGUGCCGUAGCUAACGCUUUAAGUACCCCGCCUGGGGAGUACGGCCGCAAGGCUAAAACUCAAAGGAAUUGACGGGGCCCCGCACAAGCGGCGGAGCAUGCGGAUUAAUUCGAUGCAACGCGUAGAACCUUACCUAGAGUUUGAUCCUGGCUCAGGCUGUCGUCAGCUCGUG
rnacentral:rRNA from 1 species